GCUCUUGUAGUAAAAUUAUAACGGUGGUUUUUCAAGCCAUAGUUCUUGGUUAAAACCCUGGUAAGAGUG
rnacentral:tRNA from 1 species